UACGUAGGGGGCAAGCGUUGUCCGGAUUUAUUGGGCGUAAAGAGCGUGUAGGCGGCCAUACAGGUCCGUUGUGAAAACUGGAGGCUUAACCUCCAGACGUCGAUGGAAACCGUAUGGCUAGAGUCCGGAAGGGGCGAGUGGAAUUCCUGGUGUAGCGGUGAAAUGCGCAGAUAUCAGGAGGAACACCUAUGGCGAAGGCAGCUCGCUGGGACGGUACUGACGCUGAGGCGCGAAAGCGUGGGGAGCGAACAGG
rnacentral:rRNA from 1 species